GGGGUGGUGGCUCAGUGGUAGAGCGCUUGCCUAGCAUGCAUGAGGCACUGGGUUCGUUCCAGGCACCACA
rnacentral:tRNA from 1 species